AGGAGCAGAUAGCGUGUGCUGGAAUCAAAGGGACAUAGACCAAGGAGGAGAGAGAGGAGGGAACUGUUCCUUGCAACAGGACUGGAUUCAGUGGUGCCUUAGCUGGGGUUUUGGCCCCUCUCUUCCAGACACCCUGAGGGAGCUGAGGAGACCAGGCAGGAGGUUGGCUUGGACUCCCUCACAAGGGAAACCAGAAAGUGAGCUCCCAUCCCUGCAGGAGGCUGUCCCCCCACAGCUCUGAUCCAAGGAUCAGGAAAGGAACAGUGCUGAUCGUGUCAUCUCCUCAGCUUGUUCAGAAGCAGCCCUUCACUUCACACCAGCCGCAGCAGUGGCUGGAAGAUAUUGGCCAAGGCAAUUAGCUACAAUUCUGACAAACCCCAUGCAACCAAGGGCUCUUAUUCUGGCUGCUGGAGCUGAGGGGAAGAGGUUACCAUGCCUUUAAUAUACAGCAACUACAAAAUGGCCGACAGCCCCAUGGAGGUCACCUCAGCAAUGCCAUCCGGAAGCCAUGACACAACCUCAGGGUCUGAGGUAACCAGGAAGUGAUCACAAUUCACCUGGGAGAAAGUCCUGCUCCCAGUGAUCAGGGAUUCACGCCCUGGGGAGGGUUUCCUUUUAUAUAAGUAUGUUAAUAAAAAAUCACUUUGAAGACCAGCUCACUCUAGCCGAUAGCAUUAAAGGCGCGUUUGCUUCCAUUAAA